rnacentral:rRNA from 1 species
UUCAGAGGUCUCGAGCGUUGUUCGGAUUUACUGGGCGUAAAGGGAGCGUAGGCGGCCGGGUGUGUCGAAUGUGAAAACCCACAACUCAACUGUGGAAUGGCAUUCGAAACUACCUGGCUAGAGUACUGGAGAGGAGAGCGGAAUUCUUGGUGUAGCGGUGAAAUGCGUAGAUAUCAAGAGGAACACCGGUGGCGAAGGCGGCUCUCUGGACAGAUACUGACGCUGAGGCUCUAAAGUUAGGGGAGCAAACAGGAUUAGAUACCCU